rnacentral:misc_RNA from 1 species
UUUUAUUCRAAUAAUAUAAAAAAUAAAAUAUAUAUUGACAUGGAUUAAACAAAGAUAUAUAUUAUUCUAUGUUGUAUAAACAAAUUGGCAAAAUAGAGAUGGAAGAUAAAAAUAUGGUCAAAGUAAUAAGAGUCUAUGGUGAAUGCCUAGGAGCUUUAAGGCGAAGAAGGUCGUGGUAAGCUGCGAAAAGCUUGGGGGAGAAGCAAACAUUUAUUGAUCCCAAGAUUACCGAAUGGAGUAAUCCAGCUAGCAAGAUGCUAGCUAUCUAUUAUUAAAUAAUAGAGGCGAUACC